AAAAUAGUUAACCAUCAUAUUUUACAAAAAGAAGAACUCUAAUCUGAUGGCAACCCAUAGAAAGCAGCAGCAACAGAACAACGCAAGGGCUACCCUUGUUGGAAUUUCCCCAGUGUCUCUCAGGAGGAUCAUGAACUGCGGCUUUCCUCGUGUGGUUGCUACUUUUAGCAGAUGUUUGCAGGAAAAGAAAACCUUUCGAAAGAGGAAGACUUACCCAUUGGUUCUUUUGACUAAUGGAGGCGUGGGCAGAGGACGGUGAGCUAAGAUAGACACUGUGGAUCUCUGCAUUUGUGUGACAAGCUCUGAGUCACCAAAGUGAGUCACUGGCAAGAUGGGGAAGGCGCUUUCCCCCCAGGCUGAUGUUCUCAAACUAGUACUUUCAGCAUUUGUUUUUACACUAUCUCAAGGUAUCUCCAAGUGUCUCCUGAGA